rnacentral:rRNA from 1 species
UACAGAGGGGGCAAGCGUUGUUCGGAAUUACUGGGCGUAAAGGGCGCGUAGGCGGCCUGUUAAGUCGAACGUGAAAUCCCCGGGCUCAACCCGGGAACUGCGUCCGAUACUGGCAGGCUUGAAUCCGGGAGAGGGAUGCGGAAUUCCAGGUGUAGCGGUGAAAUGCGUAGAUAUCGGGAGGAACACCUGUGGCGAAGGCGGCCCCCUGGUUGGAUACUGACGCUGAUACGCGAAAGCGUGGGGAGCAAACAGG